rnacentral:sRNA from 1 species
GAUACCAGGGUCAAAAGGUCUAAGCCCACGUGAGCUUGCUCAUAAGUGGGUGAAAGACCUUAGGACCCGCCCCGAUAUGCGAAUAUUGGGCAGGAUUGUGGGAGUGCGUAGCACGAAGCAAUCCGUAGGUAUC